CCUACGGGGGGCUGCAGUCGAGAAUCUUUCGCAAUGGGCGAAAGCCUGACGAAGCGACGCCGUGUGUGUGAUGAAGGCCUUCGGGUCGUAAAGCACUUUCGCCUGGGAACAAGAGAGGCAGACUAAUAUUCUGCUCAUUUGAGGGUACCAGGUAAAGAAGCACCGGCUAACUCCGUGCCAGCAGCUGCGGUAAUACGGAGGGUGCAAGCAUUAAUCGGAAUUAUUGGGCGUAAAGGGCGCGUAGGCGGUAAGGUAAGUCAGAUGUGAAAUCCCGG
rnacentral:rRNA from 1 species